GCCGUGGGGUAAGUAGAGGCAGCACUGAUGGUGAGGUGGGGGCACUUUGUGCGGGAGCUGCCACGGACUGGCUGUGUCUGAGGCUCAUCCAGAAGACAGAGGUCCUCUCCACUGACCAAUUGUUCCACUGAUAAUGUCGUGUGCCACGUGCAGGACCUGCUAUUUUUUUCAUCUAGGACACAUCACCAAGGCUACAGAAAGUCCUGAGGCCAACAGCCAGGAGGAAAGUCCAUAGACCCACCCUAGGUCAAGGCCCAAAUAGGAACCACUGUCCGUGGUGCUGGUCACAGAUGCCACUGUUCACACCACUGGUCCAUGAGGCAAGGACUGCUAUGGCUACUGCCCCUGGCAGGUGGAUGACAGGACUGCCACUCACAUCGCCUGUGCCAAAUGCAUCAGCACUGUCCCAGCUUCCCUGUCUCCACAUCCUGAGUCAGAGUCUGAGCACACCUCCAGCAACUCUACUUCCGACCAUCAGAACUGCUGCUCAAACAAC